rnacentral:rRNA from 1 species
GAUUUCUGGUUUGGUAUGCCUGACCCGUUAUGGUUACAUAAUUGUGUGUCGGUGCGUGCCUGCCAUCCUUCUAGAAUACUUUCUCGCAUUCUUCAUUGGAUGUCGGGAUGGUCGUUCUAGAUCUUUUACUUUGAAAAAAUUAGAGUGUUUAAAGCAGGCAGUGUUUGCUAUGAAUACAUUAGCAUGGAAUAAUAAUUUAGGACUUCGGUUCUAUUUUGUUGGUUUCUAGGACUGAAGUAAUGAUUGAUAGGGAUAGUUGGGGGUGCUAGUAUUCAGCGGCCAGAGGUGAAAUUCUCGGAUUCGCUGAAGACUAACUUAUGCGAAAGCAUU